rnacentral:tmRNA from 1 species
GGGGGCGUAAUGGUUUCGACGGGAUUGUUGAGACUUGAUAAGCGGGUAGAGGAUUCUCGUGGGCCUCUUAAAAAACGAGAACAUAAAAUUAAACGCUAAAAACGAUAAUUUCGCUUUAGCUGCUGCCUAAUGGCAGCCCGUCAGUCCCAGGUUGCUGCACCUGGGGGCACUGGCGUCGAUAAGUCAGCCCUUUUGCAUAGGAAGGUUAAAUGCUAGCACUGAUUCAGUAGUAGCCUUGAGCUGAGUCGGAUUUUAAAGGCUACCGAAAGUGGCACCCUGCCUGUAGGGGUCCACCGUAGGGAAACGCAGGGUUCAAGUCCCGCAAGGGAUACUGAGCAAUGCAGAAAUUACAGGCUACACCCGUAGAAGUUCUUGAGGAUAUGGUUUCGGACAGGGGUUCGACUCCCCUCGCCUCCACCA